UAGCAGGUUCACAGCAAAAUAAGGGAAACCUUAACCUGAGAAAAAUAUCCCACCUCCUCAUAGCAGUUGUUUAUCACAUGCUAACAAUAAUUCCCUCAAUGUCUAUGUCAAUCAAUAACCAACAGAAAAUGGGUUACAGGUCAACACC